rnacentral:rRNA from 1 species
GAUGAACGCUAGCGGCAGGCCUAAUACAUGCAAGUCGAACGGUGUCUUCGGACAUAGUGGCGCACGGGUGCGUAACACGUAUGCAACCUACCUUACAUUGGGGGAUAGCCUUUCGAAAGGGAGAUUAAUACCGCAUAAGACAGUAGCUGGGCAUCCAGCAGCUGUUAAAGAUUUAUCGAUGUAUACUGGGCAUGCGUCCAAUUAGCUAGUUGGUGAGGUAACGGCUCACCAAGGCAAUGAUUGGUAGGGGAACUGAGAGGUCAAUCCCCCACACUGGCACUGAGAUACGGGCCAGACUCCUACGGGAGGCAGCAGUAGGGAAUAUUGGGCAAUGGACGCAAGUCUGACCCAGCCAUGCCGCGUGCAGGAUGAAGGCGUUAUGCGUUGUAAACUGCUUUUAUACAGGAAGAAACGACUCUUGCGAGAGGCAUUGACGGUACUGUAUGAAUAAGCACCGGCUAACUCCGUGCCAGCAGCCGCCGUAAGAU